UGGGAAGGGAUGACUGCUGUGACUGCUGAUGUGGCACUGAUUUCUGUCGUAUUCGUACUGGCUGAUCCCG
ensembl:snoRNA